rnacentral:rRNA from 1 species
AGUGAACGCUGGCGGUAGGCCUAACACAUGCAAGUCGAACGGCAGCACAGUAAGAGCUUGCUCUUACGGGUGGCGAGUGGCGGACGGGUGAGGAAUACAUCGGAAUCUACUUUUUCGUGGGGGAUAACGUAGGGAAACUUACGCUAAUACCGCAUACGACCUACGGGUGAAAGCAGGGGAUCUUCGGACCUUGCGCGAUUGAAUGAGCCGAUGUCGGAUUAGCUAGUUGGCGGGGUAAAGGCCCACCAAGGCGACGAUCCGUAGCUGGUCUGAGGGGAUGAUCAGCCACACUGGAACUGAGGCACGGUCCAGACCCCUGCGGGAGGCAGCAGUGGGGAAUAUUAGACAAUGGGCGCAAGCCUGAUCCAGCCAUACCGCGUGGGUGAAGAAGGCCUUCGGGUUGUAAAGCCCUUUUGUUGGGAAAGAAAAGCAGCAGGUUAAUACCCCGCUGUUCUGACGGUACCCAAAGAAUAAGCACCGGCUAACUUCGUG